rnacentral:rRNA from 1 species
ACACUGUUCAUGGGUUACCGCGGCUGCUGGCACGGAGUUAGCCGGUGCUUCUUCUGUGAGUGAUGUCCUUCCUGCCGGUUAUUGACCCGCAGGCCUUCUCCUCACUGAAAGUGCUUUACAACCCGAAGGCCUUCUUCACACACGCGGCAUGGCUGGAUCAGGGUUGCCCCCAUUGUCCAAUAUUCCCCACUGCUGCCUCCCGUAGGAGUCUGGGCCGUGUCUCAGUCCCAGUGUGGCUGAUCAUCCUCUCAGACCAGCUACGGAUCGUCGCCUUGGUGAGCCGUUACCUCACCAACCAGCUAAUCCGACAUAGGCUCAUCCGAUAGCGCGAGGCCCGAAGGUCCCCCGCUUUCCCCCGUAGGGCGUAUGCGGUAUUAGCCCUGGGUUUCCCCAGGUUAUCCCCGACUACCGGGCAGAUUCCUAUGCAUUACUCACCCGUCGCCGCUCGCCACCNGGGAGCAAGCUCCCCGUGCUGCCGCUCGACUUGCAUGUCGUUAGG